AUACGGGGGGUGCAAGCGUUAAUCGGAAUUACUGGGCGUAAAGCGCGCGUAGGCGGUUUGCUCAGUCGGAUGUGAAAGCCCAGGGCUCAACCUUGGAACUGCAUACGAUACUGGCAAACUAGAGUGUGAGAGAGGAUAGUGGAAUUUCCGGUGUAGCGGUGAAAUGCGUAGAUAUCGGAAGGAACAUCAGUGGCGAAGGCGACUGUCUGGCUCAACACUGACGCUGAGGUGCGAAAGCGUGGGUAGCAAACUGGAUUAGAUACCCUUGUAGUCC
rnacentral:rRNA from 1 species